GCCCGGCUCCGCCCCUGGCCUGGGCCCUCGCUCCUGCCUCACGGAAACGCGGGCCGUGUCGCCUCCCACCUCAUGCUCGGUUUACUGUCCCGUGCCAUGGGCGAGGUCCUGCGCCUCCGGACCCAGAAAUGGGCAUUCCUUCAGCACGCACGGUCAAACGCCUACUGUGAGCAAGGGACGCGAGUGAGGGCGCCCGGCCGGGGCCAAGGAGCCGACGUUCGGUGGACACUUCGAACGGUGCUCCCUAGUCGGGGCCGGUUUACAGUGGGCCAGCUUAUCGAGCCCUCCCUCGUGCAGAGGCCCUGAGGACCGUGCGUACACCUGCUGUGCGCCAGCUCGCGCCGUGCGUCCGGGGAGGAGAAACACUGAGCUUGACCCCCAGGAGCGCCUGUUCUCCCGAGGGAGAGAACAGUACACUGAUGAGAAUGACUCAGAGUCACGCUGUAAGAUUCGGAUCCCUCUGGCUGUUUGUGGGGCAUGGAUUUAGGGACCGCACGGAGGCAGGAGACCACGGAGAAGGUGACUGCAGUCGUCCAGAGGAAAUGGAGGGUCAGACCAGGGUGACCGUGGAGGUGCGAGAAGUAGUCGAUUCUGGAUGUGUUUUGAAGGAGUGUAGGUAUGAUGGCAGCGCUAGAGCAGCCAGCUUGGACCGUGAGAUGGAAACUGCUGGUUGAAGAUGGAAGAACUGUAAGAUAGGAAGAGUCUGGGUCCCUGACACCAUCAAGCCACCAUCCAAAACGGGGCUGCUUUCAUCCAGCCUUUCUUAUAUCACUGAACCUGUAUCCCACCAAUGCGUUUAUUAAAUGAAUCACUGGAUGUUUGAAUGACAAAAGGAGCAGUCAGAGCCAGACCCCACACACAUAUAAAAAUGCACCAAGACGAAACUCGAGCCUGGGUUGGAAGCAUAGUCCAAGUGCAGUGGAAAAAUUCAUGGCUGGAGGAGCCAGCUCCGGACUGUUCCUUCUGCUAGCUUGCUGUAUUCCCCUGGAUAACCCACCUGCUCUCUCUGGUCCCAACACUCCUCAGUUGUAAACCAGGCUUAGCAAGUUCAUGGAAUCCAUGCGGUUAUGCAAUUUAAAGAUGUUCGUUGUUCUUUAAAAUUCCACUUCUAGGAAUCCAUUCCCAGAGAAAUUCCCACUUCAUAGUCCACGAACACAGGUGCAAGGAUGUAGCAUGUUUGCGGAGCAAAAACUUGGCAAUACCCUGAAAGGUGAUUAAAUAAACUAGGAAGCUUUCAUGCUCUGGAGCGCUCGACUGCUGACUGCGGCCACGAGGAAUUCUCUGGUGACACCUGCUGGCACAAAAUGAUACUGCAGCCCAGCAGCUAGGCAUUGGGAAUUUCCCGGACAAGAGAGGUUCCAGGCAGCUGUGAGGGUAGUUUGGGAGGCCAUAGAGCAGGGAGAGAUUUGGAAGGAAGGCUCAGGCAUGGAGGUUGGCCUGGGUGUGGAGGCUGAGAACAAUGGUCUGGAUUUGAAGUCCAGCUUCACUACUUCCUAGUUGGGUGAACUUGGCACUUCCUCUGAGCCCCUCUACUUCUAUAAAAUGAGACUCCUGGGGUCCAAGUCAUAGAUGUCUGGAGAGGAUUCCAUGAGAGAAUGCACUCAUUUGAUUAUUUGUUGAACCCACAUGGAGCUCCUAUGAAGCCGGUGAUCGACUGCACUAAUCUAGGCGCUAAGGAUAUAUCAGGACCCGGAUCCUGCCCUCGCGGAGCUUCCAGUCCAGGGAGUGAAGGCAGUAAAGAAGUAAAUAUGCAGAUAAGAUCAUUUCCGGUAUUGAUGACACUCUACAGGAAAGUGAAGCGGGAGCUGGCUCUGUGCGUGUGGAGGCGUUGUGAUAACUUGGUGCUUGGGCAAGGCGUCUCUGAGGGGAUUGGAGCAGAGGCCUGAAGGAGUUGUGUCUUGUGUAUAUAGAGUGCACAUAUUAAUAAAAUGCCAGUGAAGAACCCGGCUCAUAGUAAAUGCACAAUAAACGGCGGAUCAGCCUCGUCACACAAAGGAAAGGAAGUCCAGGGGUGAUUGGACCUAUUUCCCAGGGUCUGAUACAGUCAUGGAGAGUAAGAGACGUUUCCUCGGGGCCUGGUGGGUGGAGAAGCCGCUGCUGGACCUGAGCAGACCCAGCUCUGGGAGGUCUUGGGCAAAGUACUGUCUGGGCCUUCAUUUCCUCAUUUGGAAAACAGGGUGAUAAUGCUCCCCUUGUGAGAGUGGGGGAUGUCAUGGGCUGAAUAUGUCCCCCCCGCAAUUCAUGUAUUGAAGUCCUGACCCCCGGUAUCUCAGAAUGUGAAUGUAUUUGGAGAUAGGGUCUUUAAAGAGAUCGUUAAGCUAGAACGAGGUCAUUAGAGUAAACCCUAAGUCCAUAUGACUGGUGUCCUUAUAAGAGAUUAGGACACAGACAUAUACAGAGGGGACGACCAGUUCUGAGAUCACUGAGGUGACUGCAGUGUGGCCCACAUGGUAUCUCGGGAUUGGCCCUGCCUUGGGGGACCCAGCUUACUUAAUUUCUGCUCGCCCCUCUGGUUCAUUACUCAGCCAUUCCACAACUUCAUGUGGUACCGCUGUGACCAUUCUGUAAAUUGUGGUGUGGCUGGUAUACCAGCGAGGGUCCAGUCUGGAGAACGGAGACCACGCUAGGAACUUCAGACAGGAGGAAUGGAGUACAGGGAAUUGCGUAUACAAGUAAUGGAAGAGCUGAGAUGCCAAAGGGUGAGAUGAGGCACCCCAGGAUGAGCUAAGGCCAAAGAGGCAGAAGGAGGAUAUUGUAUCACGAGUCCUAGCGGCCAGGGCUAGAACCCUAGUGGGAUCUACCUGGUGGGAACUGGGCCCAGGCAAAAAGGGCCUAUUAGGCAUGGCCUGGUGGUCUUUGCCCUCAGAUCGGUUUCCUGCCCCUCCCCUGCUCUACUCUGAAUUACAGAGGGGCUGCCCUCUGCAAGCUGCAUUUCCCAGGUCAGCUGACUUCCUGGUGGCCAAUGGGAGGUCCUGGUGACAGACCGGAGGCCAGGAGGAGAGAAGCCAGAGUAUUUCUCCUUCUCUUUACACCUGGGGCUGCAUCUCCAUCAAUGACUGAGUCUCCUCCGUGGAUCCAGACCCCGCGAGAUAGUCCACGGUGCUUCUAGCUUUGUUGAGUGACCGUAGGCCCCAGGUUACUGUAACGUUACCUCCUCCCUCGGUCCCUCCAGCUUAGAGGUGCCAACGGCUUUCUGUUGCUGCACAUCUCUGAGCUUCUUUGCAGUCUUUUGCUUGGCUUCUGGGUUGCCUCCAUCACCUCUGCAAACACCUCCCUGUUGGAAAGCCUCUCUGUUUAAAUGCUUAGUGGUUUCCUGGUUAAAUAGUAAUUGAUAUGAGGAAAGGAUAUGAGAGCAAAUUGGCAAGUGGCCAGCCCAGCAGGCCUCUCCAGUCCUUUACUCCUUCUUAUAAAUAAAAACCUAGCAGCCUGCAGAUGGGGAGAGGCAGCUGGGUGCUGGGGAUCAGGAGGUGGCCCUACAGCCAGACAGGCCUCAUUUUGUUCUCUCUCUGCCACUUGGCAGCUCUGUAAACUUCAUCAAGGUACGUCCCCUCUGAGGCCUCAGUUUCCUUACCUGUCAUGUGGGGAUAAGGAUCACAUCCAUCGAUACAGGGCUGUCCUGCGGACUUGAUGAGAUGCGGCAGGGAAAGA